CAUCCUGAUCGUCUCCUAAAAGGUUGUAUCCUCCGAUCGUAGCUGAUCGUAACCAUUCAAGUUAACGUGUCAAUUUACACCGACUUCUUUCCGUUCCUCUGCGGAUCGCCGGACUCCUCAGCUGAUCACAAGAGUUCUAUUUUUUCUGGACGCCGGAGCAUGGCGGAUAAAUUCAGCACAGAUUAACCCGUGCUGGAAAGGAAGUCGGGCACAGACACAAAAUAAAACAUCCGGCUUCUUUUCAAAAUAAAACACUCCGUGUUUCAGGAGGAUCGUAUUUCACACCAUGCAAACGGGCGGAGACGAACAAGUGAAAGGUUUUUAGUAAGGCUG
rnacentral:lncRNA from 1 species